AACCUGGUUGAUCCUGCCAGUAGUCAUAUGCUUGUCUCAAAGAUUAAGCCAUGCAUGUCUUAGUGUAAAUAACUCUUAUGAAACUGCGAAUGGCUCAUUAAAUCAGUUAUCGUUUAUUUGAUGGUCCCUUACUACAUGGAUAACCGUAGUAAUUCUAGAGCUAAUACAUGCACAAAGGCCCGACUUACGAAGGGCUGUAUUUAUUAGAUUUAAAGCCGACAUUUUUUGGUGAUUCAUAAUAACUUUUCGAACCUCAUGCCUUUAUGGUGGAGGUGAUUCAUUCAAAUUUCUGCCCUAUCAACUCUUCGAUGGUAGGAUAGAGGCCUACCAUGGUUUUAACGGGUGACGGAGAAUUAGGGUUCGAUUCCGGAGAGGGAGCCUGAGAGACGGCUACCACAUC
rnacentral:rRNA from 1 species